rnacentral:tRNA from 1 species
GGUUGCGUAGUGUAGAGGUUAUCACUGUGGAUUCUGAUUCCACUAACCUCGGUUCGAAUCCGAGCGCGACCA